UACGUAGGGUGCGAGCGUUAAUCGGAAUUACUGGGCGUAAAGCGUGCGCAGGCGGUUUUGUAAGCCAGAUGUGAAAUCCCCGGGCUUAACCUGGGAAUGGCAUUUGGGACUGCAAGGCUCGAGUGCGGCAGAGGAGACUGGAAUUCCUGGUGUAGCAGUGAAAUGCGUAGAGAUCAUGAGGAAGACCAGUGGCGAAGGCGGGUCUCUGGACAGUUCCUGACACUGAGGCACGAAGGCCAGGGGAGCAAACGGG
rnacentral:rRNA from 1 species